UACGUAGGGUGCAAGCGUUAAUCGGAAUUACUGGGCGUAAAGCGUGCGCAGGCGGUGAGUUAAGUCUGAUGUGAAAGCCCCGGGCUCAACCUGGGAAUGGCAUUGGAAACUGGCUCGCUGGAGUGCGGCAGAGGGGGGUGGAAUUCCGCGUGUAGCAGUGAAAUGCGUAGAGAUGCGGAGGAACACCGAUGGCGAAGGCAGCCCCCUGGGCCAACACUGACGCUCAGGCACGAAAGCGUGGGGAGCAAACAGG
rnacentral:rRNA from 1 species